rnacentral:rRNA from 1 species
GACAGAGGUGCCGAGCGUUAGGCGGAAUCACUGGGCUUAAAGCGUGUGUAGGCGGGCCGUUAAGUGUCUUGUGAAAUCCCCCGGCUCAACCGGGGAAUUGCUGGGCAUACUGGCGGUCUUGAGCAGUUCAGGGGCAGAUGGAACAAGUGGUGGAGCGGUGAAAUGCGUAGAUAUUCGCAAGAACACCAGUGGCGAAGGCGGCUCACUGGCCCGAUACUGACGCUGAGGUGCGAAAGCGUGGGGAGCAAACAGG